AUAGCUCUUUCUUGAUUUGGUGGUUGGUGGUGCAUGGCCGUUCUUAGUUGGUGGAGCGAUUUGUCUGGUUAAUUCCGAUAACGAACGAGACUCCUGCCUGCUAAUUAGUACAUUCGUCCACUGUGCCUGUGUAGCCGGUGUUCGGCGAGGCUGCUCUCGUAAGCUUGCCUUGGUCGGUGUGCCUUCGGGUGUGCUGGCCUUGGUGGGUGGGCGUGGCUGGUCCGGCGCUAGCUUCCGGGUGCGGCGCGGGUGUCUACUUCUUAGAGGGACAAGCGGGAGAAGCCGCACGAAAUAGAGCAAUAACAGGUCUGUGAUGCCCUUAGAUGUCCGGGGCCGCACGCGCGCUACAAUGACGGUGGCAAUGAGUCUGACCUCCUGGCCCGAAAGGGUUGGGCAAACUGGUCAAUCACCGUCAUGACAGGGAUCGGGGCUUGGAAUUGUUCCCCGUGAACGAGGAAUUCCUAGUAAGUGCAAGUCAUAAGCUUGCGCUGAUUACGUCCCUGCCCUUUGUACACACCGCCCGUCGCUACUACCGAUUGAAUGGUUUAGUAAGGUCCUUGGAUUGGCGGCCAUUGUGGUGGUUGCCGAAAGGUGGCUGCCCGACGUGUGCUGAGAAGACGACCAAACUUGAUCAUUUAGAGGAAGUAAAAGUCGUAACAAGGGGG
rnacentral:rRNA from 1 species